rnacentral:rRNA from 1 species
UAACCUGCACCAGCGGUGAAGACUGUGGAUAACUCCGGGAAACCGGGGCUAAGUACCGGAUAACAUUUUGAACCGCAUGGUCUCGAAACCCUAGAGAUAAGGCUUCGGCUUCGGCUGCUCACUUAUGGAUGGACCCGCGUCGUCAUUAGCUAGUGUGGUGAGGUGAACGGCUCAGCCAAGGCAACGAUGCGCUAGCCUUGAUCCUAGAUGCCAGGAGUGAGUCGGCCACACUAAGGUGACUGAGACACGGCCCAGACUCCUACGGGAGGCAGCAGUAGGGAUGACGUCAAUUCCGCAAUGGACGAAAGUCUGACCGGAGCAACGCACGCGCUGCAGUGAUGAAGGCUUUCAGGGUCGUAAGAACUCGAGGUGUUGUUAGGGACAGAACAACGUGCUCAGUUCGGAUUAUAAGCUGGCACCUUGACGGUACCUAAACCAGAAAGCCACGGCUAACUACGUGCCAGCAGGCCGCGGUAAAUACGUAGGUGGCAAGCGUUAUCCG